CAGUCGCCGCGGGAAUACGAAGGGUGCAAGCGUUAAUCGGAAUUACUGGGCGUAAAGCGCGCGUAGGUGGUUUGGUAAGAUGGAUGUGAAAUCCCCGGGCUCAACCUGGGAACUGCAUCCAUAACUGCCUGACUAGAGUACGGUAGAGGGUGGUGGAAUUUCCUGUGUAGCGGUGAAAUGCGUAGAUAUAGGAAGGAACACCAGUGGCGAAGGCGACCACCUGGACUGAUACUGACACUGAGGUGCGAAAGCGUGGGGAGCAAACAGGAUUAGAUACCCCGGUAGUCCCUGUCUUUUAUAC
rnacentral:rRNA from 1 species